AAAUGUGUGUCUGUAGGGUGAAGAAACCGAUGGAGUUUAACAGACCAAGAAUUCCGAUCUCCGAGCGAGUUAUUACGCGCCGCGCGAAUUCGUAUAUUAGCAAAAAGACCGCACGGCGCAAGCGAGGUUUCAUAAAAGGCCGACCGGUUGUUAUUAAAGGGCAGAAACCUCAACGACGAACAACGUAACGAAGAUUCGCUGACUAUUUCAUAAAACCGUUUGCAAAUACAACUUUUGUAAUAAAAGAAUUACCGUCCCUUGGGUCUUACCACAAACUAUACCUCGAACUAAGAAUUUAAUCGUCGUCAGAACAAUUCAACCGACUCGAAGAGUAGAAUAUUCAAAAAAAAAAAAAAAAAA